rnacentral:antisense_RNA from 1 species
CAUCCCACCCCAGCACUUUCUAGGAAGGAGGGCAGCAUUUUGAAGGGCUGGAAGUAGAGGAAGGAGGUUGCGGGUAGAAGACUCCAUACUUUCUGUGAUGCCUAUUCCUUAGAAAUUCUCGGAGCCACCCAUCAGUGCCUGAGCUUCAGUGAGUCCAUAUCCCAUGUCACCCACGGCAAAGGAGAAUCUAAGACUUCUGAAGAGUUUCUUGCUUCUUUCCUGUGGGGCAGUGACUCCACUUCCCAGCAGUAAUGGAAUAUCCUGAAUUAGCUACAUUAAUGUUAGAACCAUUUGGACCUCACCCAGGACUUCAACUACAUUAUGCUAAAGUUACAGAACCCAAAUUUGGCAACUGUCUGCAUCUGAACAACAGAAGUUUCAACAUUCUGCCAACAGAGUAACUCCUGGACGAUUGGCACAGAAGGCACAAGGCAAAUACCUAUCUCUGUACACCCUGUGCUACUGUGUCAUGUGCUGCUCCAGGCAACUCCAAUGGAUUGGCCACCCUGGCCAAUGUGUUCUAGUAUGUUAGGUUUAUGUUCCCCUGCUUUCUACAAUCCUGUUCAAAGAGUUGCUGACUUAACCACAGAGAGGAUUCCAGAACAUGAGACACAGAAUAAACUUGAGCAAUCAUAGUCCAUCCACUUCAUUUUCUCAUCAAAAACCAAAGGUCCAGUGAAGCUCUGGAACUCAACGCUGUAAAGGAGCGAAGGAGCUUCUAUACAGAGCCUGGAUGCCUGUCUCCUUAUCCUAC